rnacentral:rRNA from 1 species
GGAAGGAUCAUUACCGAGUUUUCGAGCUCCGGCUCGACUCUCCCACCCUUUGUGAACGUACCUCUGUUGCUUUGGCGGCUCCGGCCGCCAAAGGACCUUCAAACUCCAGUCAGUAAACGCAGACGUCUGAUAAACAAGUUAAUAAACUAAAACUUUCAACAACGGAUCUCUUGGUUCUGGCAUCGAUGAAGAACGCAGCGAAAUGCGAUAAGUAAUGUGAAUUGCAGAAUUCAGUGAAUCAUCGAAUCUUUGAACGCACAUUGCGCCCCUUGGUAUUCCGGGGGGCAUGCCUGUUCGAGCGUCAUUACAACCCUCAAGCUCUGCUUGGAAUUGGGCACCGUCCUCACUGCGGACGCGCCUCAAAGACCUCGGCGGUGGCUGUUCAGCCCUCAAGCGUAGUAGAAUACACCUCGCUUUGGAGCGGUUGGCGUCGCCCGCCGGACGAACCUUCUGAACUUUUCUCAAGGUUGACCUCGGAUCAGGUAGGGAUACCCGCUGAACUUAA